rnacentral:RNase_P_RNA from 1 species
CCAGACGGCCGGACGGUCGCUGUUCCCCUGCGGGAAUGGAGGAAAGUCCGGGCUCCAUGGGAGAACGGUGCCGGCUAACUGCCGGCGAGGGCGACCUCAGGGAAAGUGCCACAGAAAACAGACCACCUUCCCGCCCGGUGCAGACUGGAGUGAAGGUAAGGGUGAAACGGUGCGGUAAGAGCGCACCGCGCUUCCGGUAACGGCGGCGGCACGGCAAACCCCACCGGGAGCAAGACCGAAUAGGGACGACAGGAAGGCGGUCCGCCGCACUUCCGGGGGGGUCUCCCGCCCCGUCGUCCGGGUUGGUCGCGCGAGGCGUGUCGCAAGACACGUCCCAGAGGAAUGACCGUCGCGGUCCGGAAACGGACCCGUACAGAACCCGGCUUACAGGCCGUCUGGCACA